rnacentral:rRNA from 1 species
AGCGAACGCUGGCGGCAGGCCUAACACAUGCAAGUCGAGCGGGCACCGCAAGGUGUCAGCGGCAGACGGGAGAGUAACACGUGGGAACGUGCCCUUUGGUUCGGAACAACUCCGGGAAACUGGAGCUAAUACCGGAUAAGCCCUUACGGGGAAAGAUUUAUCGCCAAAGGAGCGGCCCGCGUCCGAUUAGCUAGUUGGUGGAGUAU